rnacentral:misc_RNA from 1 species
AUACUUUCAACCUUCUUGGUUUGUUUUGACCAGGAAGGCUUGGACUUUGGAGGUUUUUCUUGCUGGUCUCUUUUGAAGCCAGCUCCUCCUAAAUGAAUGUGUGGGGUCCGGUUUGCUGAUCCUUGACGUGAUAAGCAUAUUUUCUAUGUCUCUCAGCUCGGAACCUGCUUUCCAACUGUGUUUGAGUUGUGACUCAACCUUUAUACAAA